GAUGAACGCUGGCGGCGUGCCUAAUACAUGCAAGUCGAGCGAACGGACGAGAAGCUUGCUUCUCUGAUGUUAGCGGCGGACGGGUGAGUAACACGUGGAUAACCUACCUAUAAGACUGGGAUAACUUCGGGAAACCGGAGCUAAUACCGGAUAAUAUUUUGAACCGCAUGGUUCAAAAGUGAAAGACGGUCUUGCUGUCACUUAUAGAUGGAUCCGCGCUGCAUUAGCUAGUUGGUAAGGUAACGGCUUACCAAGGCAACGAUGCAUAGCCGACCUGAGAGGGUGAUCGGCCACACUGGAACUGAGACACGGUCCAGACUCCUACGGGAGGCAGCAGUAGGGAAUCUUCCGCAAUGGGCGAAAGCCUGACGGAGCAACGCCGCGUGAGUGAUGAAGGUCUUCGGAUCGUAAAACUCUGUUAUUAGGGAAGAACAUAUGUGUAAGUAACUGUGCACAUCUUGACGGUACCUAAUCAAAAAGCCACGGCUAACUACGU
rnacentral:rRNA from 1 species